AAGGAGGAGGAGGCGGCGACAAAGGAGGAGGAGAUAGCAUCCGGGGCGGCGACGCCGGAAGCGGGGGCUCGGGCGACUUCCCCAAACCCGGAAACCCUAGUUCGGGUGCCCUGGUUGCACCGAGCCGGCCCCGUCGCCCUCUUCUCUCCGCUCCGAGUGAACCCCCGGUUCCCGGGCUCCGCGCUCGCCCAGCUCCCGCCCGUCCGCUCCCCAAAGCCGGGUUUUUGUUUUUGUUUUUGUUUUGAAAGAACCAAUAAAAUAAAACUCCUGGCUAGCCAGACGAAGGCUGGAAUAUAGAAAUAACUGUCACUCCAUGCCAACCAUGCAGAUGAGGACAACAUCCCAGUAGAUGUCAGGGCAGUAAGAUGAAGGAACAUGGGUCACUGAAUAACCUGGAGGAGCAAGGGUGUUCCCCCAGCCUGGACUAGUCAACAACUGUGUAAGAAAACAAAAUCAACUUCAAUUUUAUUUAUACCACUGUAUUUCUCUCUGUCCCUCUCUCUCUGUCCCUGUCUCUGUCUUACAAAUGUGUUUAGCUUUUACCACAACUAAACCAGUAGAAAUUCACGUUAGAAAAAA